CAGACCCUUGUUGCAGAGAAGGCAAUGGCACCUCACUCCAGUACUCUUGCCUGGAAAAUCCCAUGGACGGAGGAGCCUGGAAGGCUGCAGUCCAUGGGGUUGCUGAGGGUUGGACACGACUGAGCAACUUCACUUUGACUUUUCACUUUCAUGCAUUGGAGAAGGAAAUGGCAACCCACUCCAGUAUUCUUGCCUGGAGAAUCCCAGGGACGGGGGAGUCUGGUGGGCUGCCGUCUAUGGGAUCACAGAGUCAGACACAACUGAAGUGACUUAGCAGCAGCAGCAGACCCUUGUUGAAUUUUCACAUCAAUUCUGUUGUUGUCCCCAUUUUCCAGAUGAGGAAACUGAGACACAGAGGAGAGAUAAGUUCCCCAAAGUCACACUGGCAGUAAGCUUUGGAGCUGGGAUAGGACACCAGAUUGUCUGUAGACUCUGUCCUUACCCAUCAUAGGUAUGUCCAUGAAUCUCUGUUAAAUUGGAUUGGAUUGAAUCUAGUAGAGAAGUCCUGUUUAAACAUCAAGUUUCCUAAGGGCAUUUAAAUGUUUACACAUUGCUAUCCUAGGGUGUCUCCCUGGUUGCUCUGUGCUGAGCUAAAGCCUACUCAUACUCCCAGUUCUAGAUCCUUCGGAAAUCUCUCUGGAUUUGUUCUAUUUGCUCUUUCAACAGUCCUGGCCUCCCAAGACCCACUCAGAGCUCUCACAUCAUUCAUCAGUGGCUCCUGAGAAGAUGAGAGGUAAUGACAGCUGCAGAGGAUGCCAGAGACAGGCAGAGAGGACAGAAGCCAAAAAGUAGAAAGAGUCUGGGGGAAAAGAAGAAGAUAACAAAAAAGAACUGUGCAUAUGUGCUAAGUUGCUUCAGUCACAUCUCUGCAACUCUAAGGUCUGUAGCCCACCAGGCUCUUCUGCCCAUGGGUUUCUCCAGGUAAGAAUACUGGAGUGGGUCGCCAUGCCUUCCUCCAGGAGAUCUUCCUGACCCAGGGAUUGAACCCAUGUCUCCUGUAUCACCGACUCAAAGGACAUGAGUUUGAGUAAACUCCGAAAGUUGGUGACAUACAGGGAGACCUGGUGUGCUGCAGUCCAUGGGGCUGCAAAGAGUCAGACAUGACUGAGUGACUGAACUGAACUGAACUGAACUCCUGCAUUGACAGGCGAGCUCUUUACUACCAGCGCCACCUGGAAAGCCCAAUAAGAAAGAACUGCUGCUGCUCCUAAGUCGCUUCAAUCCUGUCUGACUCUGUGUGACCUCAUAAACAGCAGCCCACCAGGCUUUGCCGUCCCUGGGAUUUCCCCAGCAAGAGUACUGGAAUAGGGUGCCAUUGCCUUCUCCGAAGAAAGAACUAAAGAUACUUAAAUCUGAAGAGGCCCACUCAGACCCCACACUGAACUAGUUGGUCAGCAGGGUGGCUGCUUCAUUACAAGCGAACCAUUACUACUGCCGCAGCAUUGGGGCUGACCUGGGAACGAACCCAGCUGAAUUCCAGAGUGAUGUGGCGCUUGGAUAAAGGACACACUGCAAAUUGACUAGACAUCAACUCAUGGAAACCUAAAGAGGGUAAUCAUGUUUGUGAUCUGGGAGGAUGGCCAGGCUGGGGAGGGGGUUGGCAUUUGGAGCCUCUCAGCUACUCUGUUAAUCUAGCUUCUAAUAGAGUACCUGGCACACAGCAGGGGCUGAACACAUGUUUGUGGACUGAGUGACAUUUGUGUCGUGGUGCUCUGCUGGGUAGACCUCAGUGCUGACAGUUGUGG
ensembl:lncRNA